rnacentral:rRNA from 1 species
GUUGUAUAGUCAAGUAAUUAAGUGCAUGUGGUGGAUGCCUUGGCAGUCAGAGGCGAUGAAAGACGUGAUAGCCUGCGAAAAGCUCCGGGGAGGCGGCAAAUAUCCUUUGAUCCGGAGAUGUCUGAAUGGGGGAACCCACCUACUUUAAGGUAGGUAUUGCAACAUGAAUACAUAGUGUUGCAAGGCGAACGAGGGGAAGUGAAACAUCUCAGUACCCUUAGGAAAAGAAAUCAAUUGAGAUUCCCUCAGUAGCGGCGAGCGAACGGGGAUCAGCCCAUUAAGUUAUGUGUGUUUUAGUGGAACGCUCUGGGAAGUGCGAACGUAGAGGGUGAUAUUCCCGUACACGAAAGGGCACACAUAAUGAUGACGAGUAGGGCGAGGCACGUGAAACCUUGUCUGAAUAUGGGGGGACCAUCCUCCAAGGCUAAAUACUCCUGACUGACCGAUAGUGAACCAGUACCGUGAGGGAAAGGCGAAAAGAACCCCUGUGAGGGGAGUGAAAUAGAUCCUGAAACCGCAUGCAUACAAGCAGUGGGAGCACCUUCGUGGUGUGACUGCGUACCUUUUGUAUAAUGGGUCAGCGACUUAUAUUCAGUAGCAAGGUUAACCGUAUAGGGGAGCCGUAGAGAAAUCGAGUCUUAAUAGGGCGUUUAGUUGCUGGGUAUAGACCCGAAACCAGGCGAUCUAUCCAUGAGCAGGUUGAAGGUUGGGUAACACUAACUGGAGGACCGAACCCACUGUCGUUGAAAAGCCAGGGGAUGACUUGUGGAUAGGGGUGAAAGGCUAAUCAAGCCUGGUGAUAGCUGGUUCUCCCCGAAAGCUAUUUAGGUAGCGCCUCGGACGAAUACCAUAGGGGGUAGAGCACUGUUUCGGCUAGGGGGUCAUCCCGACUUACCAAACCGAUGCAAACUCCGAAUACCUAUGAGUACUAUCCGGGAGACAGACUGCGGGUGCUAACGUCCGUAGUCAAGAGGAAAACAAUCCAGACCGCCAGCUAAGGCCCCAAAAUCAUAGUUAAGUGGGAAACGAUGUGGGAAGGCAUAGACAGCUAGGAGGUUGGCUUAGAAGCAGCCACCCUUUAAAGAAAGCGUAAUAGCUCACUAGUCGAGUCGGCCUGCGCGGAAGAUGUAACGGGGCUAAAACUAUGUGCCGAAGCUGCGGAUUUGACAUUAGUCAAGUGGUAGGGGAGCGUUCUGUAAGCCGAUGAAGGUGUAUUGAGAAGUAUGCUGGAGGUAUCAGAAGUGCGAAUGCUGACGUGAGUAACGACAAAACGGGUGAAAAACCCGUUCGCCGAAAGACCAAGGGUUCCAGUCCAACGUUAAUCGGGGCUGGGUGAGUCGACCCCUAAGG